rnacentral:rRNA from 1 species
CAUGCAGGCGGUUACAUAAGUCAGGGGUGAAAUCCCCGCGCUUAACGUGGGCAUUGCAUUUGAAACUAUGUAGCUAGAGUUCUGUAGAGGGGGGUAGAAUUCCAGGUGUAGCGGUGAAAUGCGUAGAGAUCUGGAGGAAUACCGAUUGCGAAGGCAGCCCCCUGGACAAAGACUGACGCUCAGGUGCGAAAGCGUGGGGAGCAAACAGGAUUCGAUACCCCAGUA